rnacentral:rRNA from 1 species
CCUACGGGUGGCUGCAGUCGAGAAUCAUUCACAAUGGGGGCAACCCUGAUGCAGCGAUGCCGCGUGGGGGAAUGAAGGUCUUCGGAUUGUAAACCCCUGUCAUGUGGGAGCAAAUUAAAAAGAUAGUACCACACGAGGAAGAGACGGCUAACUCGGUGCCAGCAGCCGCGGUAAUACAGAGGUCUCAAGCGUUGUUCGGAAUCACUGGGCGUAAUGCGUGCGUAGGCGGUUUCGUAAGUCGGGUGGGAAAGGCGCGGGCUCAACCCGCGGAUGGCAAAUGAUACUGCGAGACUAGAGUUAAGGUGCGGGAACCGGAAUGCUCGGUGUAGCGGUGAAAUGCAUAGAGAUC